GGGCCGGUAGCUCAGUUUGGUAGAGCACCUGACUUUUAAUCAGGUGGUCGCGAGUUCGAAACAACAAAACAAUGUUGAAGAAAGUCUCGUCCGGCCCA
rnacentral:tRNA from 1 species